rnacentral:rRNA from 1 species
AUACGGAGGGUGCGAGCGUUAAUCGGAAUUACUGGGCGUAAAGCGCAUGUAGGCCGUGUGGCAAGUUAGGGGUGAAAUCCCAGGGCUCAACCUUGGAACUGCCUCUAAAACUACCAUGCUUGAGUGCGAGAGAGGAUAGCGGAAUUCCAGGUGUAGGAGUGAAAUCCGUAGAUAUCUGGAAGAACAUCAGUGGCGAAGGCGGCUAUCUGGCUCGUAACUGACGCUGAGAUGCGAAAGCGUGGGUAGCAAACAGGACUAGAUACCCUGGUAGUCCACGCUGUAAACGAUGGAUACUAGUUGUCGGGCGGUAUGUUCGGUGACGCAGCUAACGCAAUAAGUAUCCCGCCUGGGGAGUACGGUCGCAAGGCUGAAACUCAAAGGAAUUGGCGGGG